ACUCCUACGGGAGGCAGCAGCAAGGAAUAUUCCACAAUGGGGGAAACCCUGAUGGAGCGACGCCGCGUGGAGGAAGACGCCUUUCGGGGUGUAAACUCCUUUUCUCAGUGACGAAGAAAGUGACGGUAGCUGAGGAAUAAGCACCGGCUAACUACGUGCCAGCAGCCGCGGUAAGACGUAGGGUGCAAGCGUUGUCCGGAGUUACUGGGCGUAAAGGACGCGUAGGCGGCGCAUCGCGUCGCACGUGAAAGCCCCCGGCUCAACCGGGGAGGGUCGUGCGAAACGGAUGUGCUUGAGGCAGAGAGAGGCGAGUGGAAUUCCCGGUGUAGUGGUGAAAUGCGUAGAUAUCGGGAGGAACACCAGAGGCGAAGGCGGCUCGCUGGCUCUGACCUGACGCUGAGGCGUGAAGGCGUGGGGAGCGAACGGGAUUAGAAACCCCAGUAGUCC
rnacentral:rRNA from 1 species